rnacentral:rRNA from 1 species
AUUGAACGCUGGCGGCAGGCCUAACACAUGCCAGUCGAGCGGAUGAAGGGAGCUUGCUCCUGGAUUCAGCGGCGGACGGGUGAGUAAUGCCUAGGAAUCUGCCUGGUAGUGGGGGAUAACGUCCGGAAACGGGCGCUAAUACCGCAUACGUCCUGAGGGAGAAAGUGGGGGAUCUUCGGACCUCACGCUAUCAGAUGAGCCUAGGUCGGAUUAGCUAGUUGGUGGGGUAAAGGCCUACCAAGGCGACGAUCCGUAACUGGUCUGAGAGGAUGAUCAGUCACACUGGAACUGAGACACGGUCCAGACUCCUACGGGAGGCAGCAGUGGGGAAUAUUGGACAAUGGGCGAAAGCCUGAUCCAGCCAUGCCGCGUGUGUGAAGACGGUCUUCGGAUUGUAAAGCACUUUAAGUUGGGAGGAAGGGCAGUAAGUUAAUACCUUGCUGUUUUGACGUUACCAACAGAAUAAGCACCGGCUAACUUCGUG